rnacentral:rRNA from 1 species
CGCCUCUUGCAAUAUAAAGUAUAAGAGGUCCCGCCUGCCCAGUGAUAAUUUCAACGGCCGCGGUAUCAUGACCGUGCAAAGGUAGCGUAAUCACUUGUCUUUUAAAUAAAGACCCGUAUGAAAGGCAAAACGAAAGCUCAACUGUCUCUUUAAUCCAAUCAAUGAAAUUAAUCUCUCCGUGCAGAAGCGGAGAUGAUAAUAUAAGACGAGAAGACCCUAUGGAGCUUCAAAUACAAAAUUAACUAUACCACCCCCAAAAAGCCAACAGGCAAAACAACCUACUAUAGCCAUAAUUUGAAUUUUCGGUUGGGGCGACCACGGAAGAAAACCCAUCCUCCGAGAUAAACAAUUUAGAACCACACUUCAAAAACUAAAACAUUUAUAUAAAUGACCCACUAAGUGACCAACGAACCAAGUUACCCUAGGGAUAACAGCGCAAUCCUUUCUAAGAGUCCAUAUCGACGAAUGGGUUUACGACCUCGAUGUUGGAUCAGGACACCCAGAUGGUGCAGCCGCUAUCAAAGGUUCGUUUGUUCAACGAUUAAAGUCCU